rnacentral:rRNA from 1 species
AAGAGCUUGCUCUUGUGAGCCCAGUGGCAAACGGGUGAGUAACGCGUAGGCAACCUGCCCCUGAGAUGGGGGACAACAGGGCGAAAGCCCUGCUAAUACCGAAUGUUGUGCUUCCUCCGCAUGGAGGGAGCAUUAAAGACGGCCUCUACUUGUAAGCCGUCACUCAGGGAUGGGCCUGCGUCUGUAUUAGCUGGCUGGUGAGGUAACGGCUCACCAGGGCGACGACUCAGUAGCCGGUCUGAGAGGAUGAACGGCCACAUUGGGACUGAGACACGGCCCAGACUCCUACGGGAGGCAGCAGUGGGGAAUCUUCCGCAAUGGGCGAAAGCCUGACGGAGCAACGCCGCGUGGAGUGAAGAAGGCCUUCGGGUCGUAAAGCUCCUGUUGCCGGGGACGAACGUGCCUGAGGCGAACAGCCUCAGGGAUGUGCACCGGCUAACUCUGUGCGAGGAAGCCGCGGCUAACUACGGUGCCAGCAGCAGCGGUAAUACGUAGGUAUCACGCGGCGUAAAGGACGCGUAGGCGGAUUGCCAAGUCUCAGGUGAAAUCCUAUGGCUUAACCAUAGAACUGCUUGGGAAACUCAACCCCGUGAGGGAGAGUCGGAACUAUCUUUCUUGAGUGCAGGAGAGGAAAGCGGAAUUCCCAGUGUAGACGGUGAAAUGCGUAGGAUAUUGGGAGGAACACCAGUGGCGAAGGCGGCUUUCUGGACUGCAACUGACGCUGAGGCUCGAAAGCCAGGGGAGCGAACGGGAUUAGAUACUCCCGGUAGUCCUGGCCAGUAAACGCAUGAAUGCUAGGUGUGGGAGGUA